CAUUACACGACUCUCGGCAACGGAUAUCUAGGCUCUCGCAUCGAUGAAGAACGUAGCAAACUGCGAUACUUGGUGUGAAUUGCAGAAUCCCGUGAACCAUCGAGUCUUUGAACGCAAGUUGCGCCCGAAGCCAUUAGGCCGAGGGCACGUCUGCCUGGGCGUC
rnacentral:rRNA from 1 species